CAGUCGAACGGAGAUUAUACGCAGAGGCGAUUUCGGUCAAAUCAUGUAAAAUCUUAUUUGGCGGACGGGUGAGUAACGCGUGGGUAACCUGCCUUACACUGGGGGAUAACACUUAGAAAUAGGUGCUAAUACCGCAUAAGCGCACGAAGCCGCAUGGAUUUGUGUGAAAAACUCCGGUGGUGUAAGAUGGACCCGCGUCUGAUUAGCUUGUUGGCGGGGUAACGGCCCACCAAGGCGACGAUCAGUAGCCGGCCUGAGAGGGUGGACGGCCACAUUGGGACUGAGACACGGCCCAAACUCCUACGGGAGGCAGCAGUGGGGGAUAUUGGACAAUGGGGGGAACCCUGAUCCAGCGACGCCGCGUGAGUGAAGAAGUAUUUCGGUAUGUAAAGCUCUGUCAGCAGGGAAGAAAGAAAUGACGGUACCUGACCAAGAAGCCCCGGCUAACUACGUGCCAGCAGCCGCGGUAAUACGUAGGGGGCAAGCGUUAUCCGGAAUUACUGGGUGUAAAGGGAGCGUAGACGGUUAAGUAAGUCUGGAGUGAAAGGCCGGGGCCCAACCCCGGGACUGCUCUGGAAACUAUUGAACUUGAGUGCAGGAGAGGUAAGCGGAAUUCCUAGUGUAGCGGUGAAAUGCGUAGAUAUUAGGAGGAACACC
rnacentral:rRNA from 1 species